rnacentral:tRNA from 1 species
GAGGGUAUAGCUUAGUGUAGAGUGCAUGCCUAGCAUGCAUGAGGUCCUGGGUUCAAUCCCCAGUACCUCCA